GUGCCAUCCUAUGUAGACAAGGUUUGACAUAAUUUUCCAGACUGGGAUUGUGUCUUUAAAGCACUUAAGCUGAACUAGACAAUUUCAUACACUUAUGUUGUUGAUAAAAUGAAAUUCCCAUUUGCUUCUCAUUACCUCUGACAUGAGCAUAUGCAGUUACAGGAUGUCUAUUGUAAUUAUGAUUAGAGCUUAAAAAACAAACAAGAAAAAUUACCAUACUAGCUAGAAAAUGCUGGGAAACCACAUGCCACAAACUUUGAGAUGUUUAUGAUUAAAAAAAAAAAUCACAUUGUAAGCUCCAUGCAAAAACCUGUGUUUGAAACAAAAGUCUAAAAUGUAAGAUCUAGACCCCUCUUGAGAAGUCCACUUAAGCAGGUCAUAAAGUGGUUUUAGAACAUACAUGUAUUUCAAUAUGAUAUUUAAGAAUCUCAUCAGAGCUCAAAGGCUACUCAAAAUGGUGAAGCCAGGAGAAAUUUGCCCCAAGCUUAGUGUUCACUUGAGUAGCUACACAAGAAUGAAUUGGAGCACAGCUGUAUGUCAUUUUGAAUUAGGACAACUGAGAAAGGCAAAUGACUAUCAUUGUUUCACUAUUAUAAUUGGUAGAUGCUAUUGACACAAUGAUAGAGGCAUGAGGCUGAGAAAUUCUAGGCAGAAAAGGGUAGAUCCCCAGCGAAACUCCACCCCCAAACCUAAAAGCCUGAAACCGUGGCCCAAAGUGAGAACUUCUAUUCCGGUUUUCCUGCUUGAAUGUUGCCUUUUUCUAAACACCUAUGCCCACUCCACCCCAUCCUGCGCCUAUAAAGACCCCAGACUCAGCCAUCAGAGAGAAGAAGCAGCUGGACAACAGGUCGACUACAGCUGGACGAUGGAGAGAAGCAGGUUGACUUCAGAGGGACAGUUUAACGGCAUAACUUCGGAGAAGAAUCCAGCCAGAAACAGCCGAACUUCAGGGAGAUCGGGAGCCAUGAGUGAGGAU
rnacentral:lncRNA from 10 species